UACGGAGGGAGCUAGCGUUGUUCGGAAUUACUGGGCGUAAAGCGCACGUAGGCGGCUUUUUAAGUCAGGGGUGAAAGCCCGGAGCUCAACUUCGGAAUUGCCUUUAAGACUGCAUCGCUUGAAUCAUGGAGAGGUCAGUGGAAUUCCGAGUGUAGAGGUGAAAUUCGUAGAUAUUCGGAAGAACACCAGUGGCGAAGGCGACUCGCUGGACAAGUAUUGACGCUGAGGUGCGAAAGCGUGGGGAGCAAACAGG
rnacentral:rRNA from 1 species